rnacentral:rRNA from 1 species
CCUACGGGAGGCAGCAGUGAGGAAUAUUGGUCAAUGGCCGUAAGGCUGAACCAGCCAAGUAGCGUGAGGGAAGACUGUCCUAUGGGUUGUAAACCUCUUUUAUGCGGGGACAAAGACGUCCACGCGUGGACGUUUGCAUGUACCGCAUGAAUAAGGACCGGCUAACUCCGUGCCAGCAGCCGCGGUAAUACGGAAGGUCCGGGCGUUAUCCGGAUUUAUUGGGUUUAAAGGGAGCGUAGGCCGGUCUUUAAGGGUGCCGGGAAAUGUUGGGGCUCAACCCUGGGACGGCGGUGCAAACUGGAGGCCUUGAGUGGGCGGGAGGCAGGCGGAAUGCGUGGUGUAGCGGUGAAAUGCUUAGAUAUCGCGAAGAACCCCGAUUGCGAAGGCAGCCUGCCGCAGCGAUACUGACGCUGAGGCUCGAAAGCGCGGGUAUCGAACAGGAUUAGAUACCCCUGUAGUC